GGGAGCUGUUGUACCGACUGAUCGAGAUCACCUAGAAGAAAUUGGGGGGUCGGCGGGCGCCGGCCGGGCCUCCCAGAUCGGGUGACAGAGCCCCAUACGCUCCAGGACCGGACGCGGUGCCGCCGCUGCCUUUAGGGCCCGUCCAGCCCCCCGCCCCCGGGGGGAGGGGGGCGGCGGACGGGGCCCAACACACAAGCCGUGCUUGAGGGUGGCAAUGAUGCUCGGACAGGCAUGCCCCCCGGAAUACCAGGGGGCGCAAUGUGCGAUUCAAAGACUCUAUGAUUCACUGAAUUCUGCAAUUCACAUUACUUAUCGCAUUUCGCUGCGUUCUUCAUCGAUGCCGGAACCAAGAGAUCCGUUGUUGAAAGUUUUAACUAAUUUCGCUAUUCGCUCAGACCGCACUCUUCAUACAGCGUUCGGUAGUGUCUUCGGCGGGCGCAGGCCGGGGGGGCCCCGGCCGCCGGGCAGGAGGGCCCGCCGAAGCAACAAGGAACAGGAGACACGGGCGGGAGGAUGUAUCGUGUGGAAACCCACUCUGUAAAUAUUUUUCCCAUAAUUCAUCAACAAAAAUUUUUAAAUAACCUACUUAAAUAAUUUAC
rnacentral:misc_RNA from 1 species